ensembl:lncRNA
UGCUGUGUAUAUAUAUAUAUAUAUAUAUAUAUAUAUAUAUAUAUAUAUAUAUAUUAAUCAUCAUCUCUGGACAGACGCUAAACCCGGGAAUUUGUUUGUUUUAAGAUGUCUAAACAGGCUUAAAAUUAAGAGACCUCUUUGUAAAGCUGCUUUGGAGUAAUAUGCAUUUAUGUAAGAACAAAAAAACGUUCAUCGUUUUUUAAUUUCACAUAUUCUAGAUCUUUGUUCCUCAGCUCUAAGUGUUCUUUCAUGAUUCAAAUCCCCUCAGUUCACUAAUGCAUUACGUUUUACAUCCCUCCAGCUUGACAUGGAGCAGAGCGGAACCACGGUGGUCUUAGAAACACAAGCUAACAGUGAACUGGGUUUCCUCCACAUGUAUUGACUUAAGCUUAUGAGACAUUACUGGACUUCAAUCCAUCCACUGACAUAAAAACCCACCGCAGGAUCCUGAGAGAAAUGGGAUACUCUAAACAGACAUUCAUCUAACACACUGCGCUAACACAAAUCUCUCUCCCUCCUCAUUCAAGCUUACAGACACAUACACACAGAGGUACAAAGGUCUCUUUCUGUAACGGGCCGAGAGCUGAAAUUUGAUGUUUAAUAACUGGGAUAUUUUUUAAUGCUUUCUGUGCUGACGGUGCAGUGGAUUUUUGAGGCAGGAUAAUGACGGGACUAAAACACUACCUGUGGAUUCCUGAGGUAUUGAGUUCUAAAGCGCCGCUACAAGAGAAUAAAGAAGGUCACCCACAUUUGGAUCAACAUGAAGGAAAAAAAGAGGCAUAGCAUCCUGCUGUUUGGAUACAAACAGGAGAAAGAAGGAGAGGACACAGGAGAAAGUUCUGGAAAGACAGCAUGGUAGUUUGGUGCCAGAACAGAUAGCGUUCCGGAUGCCGCUCUACCUGGGAAAGUGACUGAAGUGGAGCAACCCUAGAAAAAUAAGGGGGGUAAAUUAGGACGAUAAUUAAAACAGAGUGCUGACAGAAGGAGAGAUGUUCAGCCAAGAGUCUGGCACAACAAACACUCAGUGCCCUGAGACGUCGGGCCAGUCUACCGACCGGAAGACAUCAGAAAACCACUAACGCUAUACUUGCGGAGCAAAUAAAAUGCUGCAGACAUGACAUUUCUGAUGUCUGUUAAGACCUCCAGAUAUUUACAGAAAAGGCAUGUCCUUCAACAGGAAUUGCAAGAGCAUGUAGCAAUUGUGUGUUUGAAUUUUAAUUUCUGAGACCAUUUAAACAUCUAAAUACAUUUAGAAAGGUUGUAUUUUCCUAGACAUUUUGAUUUUAAUAUUAAAUGCAGACCCGGGGAAGUUUACCCUGCAUCAAGUGUAAUAGGAAAUGCAGACACCACAGAAUAUUAUAUUGAGAACGUCAUUCUGACAGCAACCCCAGCAGCAAAGAUACAUAUGCAUUUAGUAUUUUCAGCAAA